GCAAGUCGAGCGAGAAAGCACUUCGGUGCGAGUACAGCGGCGGACGGGUGAGUAACGCGUAGGAAUCUACCCAGUAGUGGGGGAUAGCCCGGGGAAACUCGGAUUAAUACCGCAUACGCCCUACGGGGGAAAGGCCGGGAUCUUCGGACCGGUCGCUAUUGGAUGAGCCUGCGUUGGAUUAGCUAGUUGGUAGGGUAAAGGCCUACCAAGGCGACGAUCCAUAGCUGGUCUGAGAGGAUGAUC
rnacentral:rRNA from 1 species